GGUUUUUUGUUUAAAUGUUUUUUCGCCUAAGGAUGGGUCUGCGGCCGAUUAGGUAGUUGGUUAGGUAACGGCUUACCAAGCCAUUGAUCGGUACGGGUUGUGAGAGCAAGAGCCCGGAGAUGGAACCUGAGACAAGGUUCCAGGCCCUACGGGGUGCAGCAGGCGCGAAACCUCCGCAAUGUGAGAAAUCGCGACGGGGGGAUCCCAAGUGCCAUUCUUAACGGGAUGGCUUUUCAUUAGUGUAAAGAGCUUUUGGAAUAAGGGCUGGGCAAGACCGGUGCCGGCCGCCGCGGUAACACCGGCAGCUCUAGUGGUAGCAGUUUUUAUUGGGCCUAAAGCGUCCGUAGCCGGUUUAAUAAGUCUCUGGUGAAAUCCUGUAGCUUAACUGUGGGAAUUGCUGGAGAUACUAUUAGACUUGAGACCGGGAGAGGUUAGAGGUACUCCCAGGGUAGAGGUGAAAUUCUGUAAUCCUGGGAGGACCGCCUGUUGCGAAGGCGUCUAACUGGAACGGUUCUGACGGUGAGGGACGAAAGUUAGGGGCGCGAACCGGAUUAGAUACCCGGGUAGUCCUAACCGUAAACGAUGCGGACUUGGUGUUGGGGUGGCUUUGAGCUGCUCCAGUGCCGAAGGGAAGCUGUUAAGUCCGCCGCCUGGGAAGUACGGUCGCAAGACUGAAACUUAA
rnacentral:rRNA from 1 species